CAAGGAAUAGUUUAAUAAAAUAUAAAUUUUGGAGAUUUAAGAUAAGAUAUUCUUUUCCUUGA
rnacentral:tRNA from 1 species